AAUCUUCGGCAAUGGACGAAAGUCUGUCGUAGCAACGCCGCGCGAGCUAAGAAGGCCUNCGGGACNUNCAGCUCUGCUUUUAGGGNAGAACACAGAUCGGAGUAACUGCCGGUACCUUGACGGUACCUAACCAGAAAGCAACGGCUAACUACAUGCCCGCAGCGGCGGUAAUACGUAGGUGGCAAGUGUUGUCCGGAAUUAUUGGGCGUAAAGCGCGCGCAGGCGGUCUCUUAAGUCUGAGGUGAAAGCCCCCGGCUCAACCGGGGAGGGUCAUUGGAAACUGGGAGUCUUGAGUGCAGAAGAGAAGAGCGGAAUUCCACGUGUAGCGGUGAAAUGCGUAGAGUUGUGGAGGAACACCAGUGGCGAAGGCGGCUCUUUGGUCUGUAACUGACGCUGAGGCGCGAAAGCGUGGGGAGCAAACAGG
rnacentral:rRNA from 1 species